rnacentral:rRNA from 1 species
AAUGGACGCAAGUCUGACCCAGCAACGCCGCGUGAAGGAAGAAGGCUUUCGGGUUGUAAACUUCUUUUAAGGGGGAAGAGUAGAAGACGGUACCCCUUGAAUAAGCCACGGCUAACUACGUGCCAGCAGCCGCGGUAAUACGUAGGUGGCAAGCGUUGUCCGGAUUUACUGGGUGUAAAGGGCGUGCAGCCGGGCAGACAAGUCAGAUGUGAAAUCCUGAGGCUCAACCUCAGGACUGCAUUUGAAACUGUAUGUCUUGAGUAUCGGAGAGGUAAUCGGAAUUCCUAGUGUAGCGGUGAAAUGCGUAGAUAUUAGGAAGAACACCAGUGGCGAAGGCGGAUUACUGGACGACAACUGACGGUGAGGCGCGAAAGCGUGGGGAGCAAA